rnacentral:rRNA from 1 species
CCAAUAGCGUAUAUUAAAGUUGUUGCAGUUAAAAAGCUCGUAGUUGACUUUCGGGAUUGACACAUCGGUCGUGCCUUAAGGGGUAUGAACUGGUGUAGUCAAUUUCUCACCUUCUGGAGAACCGCGAUGCCCUUAAUUGGGUGUCGCGGGGAACCAGGACCUUUACUUUGAAAAAAUUAGAGUGUUUAAAGCAGGCAUUUUGCUUGAAUACAUUAGCAUGGAAUAAUAAAAUAGGACGGCAUGAUUCUAUUUUGUUGGUUUCUAGGAUCACCGUAAUGAUUAAUAGGGAUAGUUGGGGGCAUUAGUAUUCAAUUGUCAGAGGUGAAAUUCUUGGAUUUAUUGAAGACUAACUACUGCGAAAGCAUUUGCCAAGGAUGUUUUCAUUAAUCAAGAACGAAAGUUAGGGGAUCGAAGACGAUCAGAUACCGUCGUAGUCUUAACCAUAAACUAUGCCGACUAGGAAUCAGACGAUGUUAAUUUUUUAAUGACUCGUUUGGCACCUUACG